rnacentral:rRNA from 1 species
GACGAACGCUGGCGGCGUGCUUAACACAUGCAAGUCGAACGGAAAGGCCCUGCUUGCCGGGUACUCGAGUGGCGAACGGGUGAGUAACACGUGGGUGAUCUGCCCUGCACUUCGGGAUAAGCCUGGGAAACUGGGUCUAAUACCGGAUAGGAGCCAUUUUUAGUGUGAUGGUUGGAAAGUUUUUUCGGUGUAGGAUGAGCUCGCGGCCUAUCAGCUUGUUGGUGGGGUAAUGGCCUACCAAGGCGGCGACGGGUAGCCGGCCUGAGAGGGUGGACGGCCACAUUGGGACUGAGAUACGGCCCAGACUCCUACGGGAGGCAGCAGUGGGGAAUAUUGCACAAUGGGCGCAAGCCUGAUGCAGCGACGCCGCGUGGGGGAUGACGGCCUUCGGGUUGUAAACUCCUUUCGCUAGGGACGAAGCUUUUUGUGAUGGUACCUAGAUAAGAAGCACCGGCUAACUACGUG